AAGAGAUCAAAAUUGAAUUUCAUUUCAUCCACCGAAAAUUAGAAUUGAGUUCACAGAGUUAAACAAGUUUAUUUUGCCCAUUGAGGCAUAAUUAUAAAAAGACAAGAAUGAUAAGAUUGAAUCAUAAGCAAUGUUUUUGUUUCUGUUCUAAUAAUGAAAGCUUUCCUUUUUUCACAAUAGAAUACCCAUCACCUAAUAAGCGCACUAUACAUGGUAAUUGAGCUCCUAUCAAAAUUGAUUGCUCUGAGAGAGAGAGAGAGAGAGA
rnacentral:misc_RNA from 1 species